GACGAACGCUGGCGGCGUGCUUAACACAUGCAAGUCGAACGGAAAGGCCCCGUUGGUGGUACUCGAGUGGCGAACGCGUGAGUAACACGUAAGUAACCUUCCCUUAACUUCGGGAUAACGUCAGGAAACUGGGGCUAAUACCGGAAAGGAAUCCUUUCUUCAAGGUGGGGGUUGGAAAGUUUCGGCGGGUUUGGAUGUACUCUCUGCAUAGCAGCUUGUUGGUGUGGUAGUGUCUUACGAAGGCUUUGACGGGUAGCCGGCCUGAGAGGGCGACCUGCCAUAUUGGGACCGAGAUAAGGCACAGACACCUACGGGAGGGAGAAGGGGGGAAUAUUGCCCGAUGGGCGGAAGCCUGAUGAAGAAAGGCCGCGUGCGGGAUGACGGCCUUAGGGUUGUAAACCGAUUUCAGCAGGGGCGAAGCUUGUGGUGACGGUACCUGAAGAAGAAGCACCGGCUAACUACGUG
rnacentral:rRNA from 1 species